AGCGCGCCCUUCGGGGUGAGCGGCGGACGGGUUAGUAACGCGUGGGAACGUGCCCUUUUCUAAGGAAUAGCCGCUGGAAACGGUGAGUAAUACCUUAUACGCCCUUCGGGGGAAAGAUUUAUCGGAGAAGGAUCGGCCCGCGUUAGAUUAGGUAGUUGGUGGGGUAAUGGCCUACCAAGCCUACGAUCUAUAGCUGGUUUGAGAGGAUGAUCAGCAACACUGGGACUGAGACACGGCCCAGACUUCUACGGAAGGCAGCAGUGGGGAAUCUUAGACAAUGGGCGCAAGCCUGAUCUAGCCAUGCCGCGUGAGUGAUGAAGGCCUUAGGGUCGUAAAGCUCUUUCGCCUGUGAAGAUAAUGACGGUAGCAGGUAAAGAAACCCCGGCUAACUCCGUGCCAGCAGCCGCGGUAAUACGGAGGGGGUUAGCGUUGUUCGGAAUUACUGGGCGUAAAGCGCGCGUAGGCGGACUAUUAAGUCAGGGGUGAAAUCCCGGGGCUCAACCCCGGAACUGCCCUUGAUACUGGUAGUCUUGAGUUCGAGAGAGGUGAGUGGAAUUCCGAGUGUAGAGGUGAAAUUCGUAGAUAUUCGGAGGAACACCAGUGGCGAAGGCGGCUCACUGGCU
rnacentral:rRNA from 1 species